rnacentral:misc_RNA from 1 species
GGAGCCGCAGGGAUCGCUCAACGGCGCUUCGCUUGCCAGCAAGGACGGUGUAGAGGGAAACCUGAUCGCGGCAUAUCGGACUCUCGACUGCGCCGGCUCUACGACAAAUGAAUGGGGAUGCGCAGUCAGCAACUGGGUCUUCGCAGGCAUCGCCAGUGAUGAUGCGUACAAGGGGUCCGACGCCCUCGAUCAGCCAUCGAUCAACGACAUCGAAGGCUAUCACUGGAAUACCUCCCCGGCCGGCCAUUAUCUCAACACGAAAUGGGUGGCGGUAUAUGAAGGCGUGGUGCGCGCGAACUCCACGAUUCGCCUCCUCAAGCAGGUGGUAGGGGCGUCGCCAAAUGCGAUCGCGCCAGCGGAUCAAAAGGGUAUCGAGGGCGAGGCAAUAUUUCUACGCGCA